rnacentral:lncRNA from 1 species
AUGGCUUCAAGUUAUUCUAAAAUUUUUACUCCACUUAACUCCUUAGGUGGUAGAUGUCGGUUGGACUUACCAUCAAAGUAUUGGUUAUAACGGAUCCUCCAAGAGUGAUUAGCAGGUAGAAACCACCAAUGACCCAUGAAGCAGAUUUUUCUUCCAUGCUUUAAAUGUAAGGAGGACGUAUCCUUGUUACAUAUUGGACAUGCCAGAUAUCCUUUGGUACUCCACCC